AAAGCCUGCUUUUGCAUUAUGGCUAAUGACUCAGCACAGGGACUCUGGUUUCUUCAGUUUUCUCCCCACAACCACCAGCCCCAGACUGCUCUGAAGUGUCUUUAGUCUACUCUGCCCAGGAUAAGGGAGCCCCAGCAAGGUAUUCACUGUGCUAAUUUAGGACCAGGAGGUGAGGUGGUGGAAACAGCAUUGGAGACUCCAGCAGCAGUCUCUGGGGCCAGCAGAUGGCGCACUUGCACAGUCCACACGUUCUCCAGGCUCCCAAGCUGAUUUAAAUGGAGCAAAGGAAGGCAUUUGUAGAUGACAUGGAGAUGAAACCUGAAAGGCCAUCAGAGACUUACCUCUGGAAAAGCACUGGAUCCAAAUAGUUUUACAAGCAAUUCUUGCAAACUUUCAUCAGAGACACUAUUUUAAAUAUUUCAAAGCUUUUUAGUUCAUUUGGUAGUAAC